rnacentral:rRNA from 1 species
CCUACGGGAGGCAGCAGUGGGGAAUAUUGGACAAUGGGCGAAAGCCUGAUCCAGCAAUGCCGCGUGAGUGAUGAAGGCCUUAGGGUCGUAAAGCUCUUUUACCAGGGAUGAUAAUGACAGUACCUGGAGAAUAAGCUCCGGCUAACUCCGCGCCAGCAGCCGCGGUAAUACGGAGGGAGCUAGCGUUGUUCGGAAUUACUGGGCGUAAAGCGUGCGUAGGCGGUUAUUCAAGUCAGAGGUGAAAGCCCGGGGCUCAACCCCGGAACGGCCUUUGAAACUAGAUAACUAGAAUCUUGGAGAGGUCAGUGGAAUUCCGAGUGUAGAGGUGAAAUUCGUAGAUAUUCGGAAGAACACCAGUGGCGAAGGCGACUGACUGGACAAGUAUUGACGCUGAGGUACGAAAGCGUGGGGAGCAAACAGGAUUAGAUACCCUGGUAGUCCACGCCGUAAACGAUGAUAACUAGCUGUCCGGACACUUGGUGUUUGGGUGGCGCAGCUAACGCAUUAAGUUAUCCGCCUGGGGAGUACGGUCGCAAGAUUAAAACUCAAAGGAAUUGACGG